CCUACGGGGGGCAGCAGUAGGGAAUAUUGCUCAAUGGGGGAAACCCUGAAGCAGCAACGCCGCGUGGAGGAUGAAGGUUUUCGGAUUGUAAACUCCUUUUGUUAGAGAAGAUAAUGACGGUAUCUAACGAAUAAGCACCGGCUAACUCCGUGCCAGCAGCCGCGGUAAUACGGAGGGUGCAAGCGUUACUCGGAAUCACUGGGCGUAAAGAGCGCGUAGGCGGGAUAGCAAGUCAGAUGUGAAAUCCUAUGGCUUAACCAUAGAACUGCAUUUGAAACUGUUAUUCUAGAGUAUGGGAGAGGUAGGUGGAAUUCUUGGUGUAGGGGUAAAAUCCGUAGAGAUCAAGAGGAAUACUCAUUGCGAAGGCGACCUGCUGGAACAUUACUGACGCUGAUGCACGAAAGCGUGGGGAGCAAACAGGAUUAGAUACCCCUGUAGUC
rnacentral:rRNA from 1 species